rnacentral:rRNA from 1 species
CCAGCAGCCGCGGUAAUACGGAGGAUGCGAGCGUUAUCCGGAUUUAUUGGGUUUAAAGGGUGCGUAGGCUGUUAUAUAAGUCAGUGGUGAAAUAUUCGGGCUCAACCGGGAUACUGCCAUUGAUACUGUAUAGCUGGAAUAUGGUUGCUGUGGGUGGAAUGUGUGGUGUAGCGGUGAAAUGCAUAGAUAUCACACAGAAUAUCGAUUGCGAAGGCAACUCACAAAGCCAUUAUUGACGCUGAUGCACGAAAGUGUGGGGAUCAAACAGGAUUAGAUACCCUGGUAGUCCACACUGUAAACGAUGAUAACUAGCUGUCGGCGAUAGAUAGUCGGUGGCUAAGCGAAAGCGAUAAGUUAUCCACCUGGGGAGUACGACCGCAAGGUUGAAACUCAAAGGAAUUGACGGGGGCCCGCACAAGCGGAGGAACAUGUGGUUUAAUUCGAUGAUACGCGAGGAACCUUACCCGGGCUCGAACGGUGCAGGAAUAUGGUAGAGAUAUCAUAGCUAGCAAUAGUCUGUAUCGAGGUGCUGCAUGGUUGUCGUCAGCUCGUGCCGUGAGGUGUCGGCUUAAGUGCCAUAACGAGCGCAACCCUUGUCGUUAGUUACCAUCAAGUAAAGUUGGGGACUCUAGCGAGACUGCCACCGUAAGGUGUGAGGAAGGGGGGGAUGACGUCAAAUCAGCACGGCCCUUACGUCCGGGGCGACACACGUGUUACAAUGGUAGGUACAGAGGGGCGCUAUCCAGUGAUGGAGUGCGAAUCUCAAAAACCUAUCUCAGUUCGGAUUGGAGUCUGCAACUCGACUCCAUGAAGUUGGAUUCGCUAGUAAUCGCGCAUCAGCCAUGGCGCGGUGAAUACGUUCCCGGGCCUUGUACACACCGCCCGUCAAGCCAUGGAAGCCGGGGGUGCCUGAAGUUCGUGACCGCAAGGAGCGACCUAGGGCAAAACUGGUAACUGGGGCGAAGUCGUAACAAGGUAGCCGAUC